UUUGCAUGCUCUCGCCCGCUACACAAACACGAAUGCUCAAACGCUCCCUUCCCGCACGGGUCCUUCCGGCUGCGCCGGUCAAGCCUGCCCUGCUUAAAAAGGGCAAAGUUCGGGCUGACAAGGAAGCAGAGCGGAUCCUCCAGAGCCUCACAGACCUCAAGAAGGUCGGGUUCACAAGCAAAUGACGCCUGCUUAACCAGGUCGUUGCCGCCGGAAAAGUCGUCAGCAGCGUGGCAGCCUGCUUAGCAGGCGUCAUUUGCUUGUGAACCCGACCUUCUUGAGGUCUGUGAGGCUCUGGAGGAUCCGCUCUGCUUCCUUGUCAGCCCGAACUUUGCCCUUUUUAAGCAGGGCAGGCUUGACCGGCGCAGCCGGAAGGACCCGUGCGGGAAGGGAGCGUUUGAGCAUUCGUGUUUGUGUAGCGGGCGAGAGCAUGCAGA
rnacentral:pre_miRNA from 1 species